AUUUUGUACAGAUACAUUGGUGUAUUUGGUUCAUCAAUAAUUUAAUGAACUUUUACGAAGAGAAAGCUGUGUGGCAAGUCGUACAACAAACUUCUCAACCUAGAAUUAAAAUUAGAUCCUUUACGCUCCCGUAUUUGAAAUGUCGCUGUGACAUAUCAAAUACGAGAGCGUGAAGGGUCUAAUUUUAAUUAGAUUGACAAACUUUUUUGAGUUUGCUCAGGGACAUAAAUAGCAUGUUAUUUAUAUCUCUGGUUUGCCUUAAAGUUUUCUAAAGUAUUCUUGUUUUCUUAUUUAAAAGGGUCAUUGUCACGAUUUUGGUCGAAUUUUUUUUUCUGUUUUGAUUAUUUACAAUGCUUUAGUAAUGCAUUUCCAAUGACCAAAUGAAAUUGGAGAGUCAGUAGUGAAGUUAUAUAAUAAGCAGGAUACAGGGCUCACAAUUCUUUGUCAUGUAGUCCUAAACAAGGCUCGUGUCCUGUUUUUUGUUUACAUUAGUUCAAUAUACUGGUAGAAGUUCUUUCUCAAGCUGAUUUUUCCAUCUUCUUAUUCAUUUUAAACAUAAACAUUUCUUACAGUACCCGCAACGUUAUUUGUUACAAGAUAAUCGAUAGGAUAGGAUUCACGCACGAUAGGAUAGCAUUAACGCACGAUAGAACAAUAUACACGCACGAUAGGAUAUGAUUAACGCACGAUAGAACAGUAUACACGCACGAUAGGAUAGGAUUGAUACACGAUAGGGAAGGAUAAACGAUGUUCAUGAUAAACAUAUAGUCGCCUUCAACGAUUUACACGAAUAAUCUGUUACUAGCAGAAUUCGAGAAAGAACACGCACGAAUAAAGAUGUACCUGGAAAUUCUAUUUAGUAACAAUUGCCAAGUUGUUAAUCAUCACUGCAUUAUUUGUAGAAUGUAUAAAAAUGACCAGUUAAUUUUUUUCACUAAAAUUAUGAGCUUAAAUAAUCAAUAAAUCUCCUGAAUUGUUAUAAUUGUUUUCAGUACCAAACACCUUAGCCGAUCGUCGGGAAUAUUUCAGCCCGAAAUCAAACUAUACGGAAAUUAGCGGGUCCAUUUAUAAAAAUCAAACUCUUGUUUAAGUAAAUAUAAAAUCUGUCAUAAAUACAUUUCUUUCUGUGUAAGAAAAUGAUGCAUUAAAAAACUAAUUAUAUUACAUACAAGUUAUUAAAUAAAUAUUUCUGCAGGUUCACAUUCUGCGUACGAUUUGCUAACACUGUUUUCAUUACCACAAACCCUAGCCGAUUGCCAUGCACAUUUCAGCCCAAAAUCAACUAUCACACAGAAAAUAACGGGUUCAACUCUGGUUUUAAUUAAAUAUAAAUUAUAUCAUAAAUACCGGUACUUUUGUUUCUGUAAAACAUGUUGCAUAAAACACACAUUAUAUUGCAUAAAAGUUAAUGUUUAUGCAAGUAUACACUCGCCUAAGAUUUAAUAUAUUCGAUAUACAGGUAAAUAUGUUACCUUGUUCCUGAGAACUUCGAUAGUUUACAUUAAGUUUUCAUUUUUAAUGCUUACAGAUAUGAUUUACAUGUAAUAUUGGUUAAUUUUGAUCUAACAAAUUAAGAAAUUAGUAUCAUGAUAGGAUUAACGCAUGAUAGGAUAGCAUUAACGCACGAUAGAACAGUAUACACGCACAAUAGAAUAGGAUUAACGCACGUUAGAACAGUAUACACGCACAAUAGGAUAGGAUUGAUACAGGAUACGAUAGGAUAGGAUUGUAAAAAAUAACGUUGCGGGUACUGUAAUGUUUACCAAAUUCAUUUUUGGUCUAAAACUGGAGUUUUCACCUCAACGUUCGAAAUGUAAACAAAAGU